GACGUAGGGCGCGAGCGUUGUCCGGAUUUAUUGGGCGUAAAGAGCUCGUAGGUGGCUUGUCGCGUCGACCGUGAAAACUUGGGGCUCAACCCCAAGCCUGCGGUCGAUACGGGCAGGCUAGAGUUCGGUAGGGGAGACUGGAAUUCCUGGUGUAGCGGUGAAAUGCGCAGAUAUCAGGAGGAACACCGGUGGCGAAGGCGGGUCUCUGGGCCGAUACUGACGCUGAGGAGCGAAAGCGUGGGGAGCGAACAGG
rnacentral:rRNA from 1 species